CUGUACAACCUCCUAGCUUUC
rnacentral:miRNA from 1 species